rnacentral:rRNA from 1 species
UCGGCUUAGAGUUUGAUCAUGGCUCAGAUUGAACGCUGGCGGCAGGCUUAACACAUGCAAGUCGAACGGUAAAAUAGUUUGUUACUUACGAGGGGGAGAGGGGAGAGUAGCGUAUGGGAAUUUACCAAAUGGAGGGGGACCUCCUGGAAACGGCUGCUUAUCCCGCAUAACCUCAAGAGACAAAAGGUUUCUACUUGCCAUUUGAUAACCCCAUAUGAGAUU